rnacentral:rRNA from 1 species
GAGUUUGAUCCUGGCUCAGGAUGAACGCCGGCGGUGUGCCUAAUACAUGCAAGUCGAACGCGUUGGCCCAACUGAUUGAACGUGCUUGCACGGACUUGACGUUGGUUUACCAGCGAGUGGCGGACGGGUGAGUAACACGUAGGUAACCUGCCCCAAAGCGGGGGAUAACAUUUGGAAACAGAUGCUAAUACCGCAUAACAGUUUGAAUCGCAUGAUUCAAACUUAAAAGAUGGUUUCGGCUAUCACUUUGGGAUGGACCUGCGGCGCAUUAGCUUGUUGGUAGGGUAACGGCCUACCAAGGCUGUGAUGCGUAGCCGAGUUGAGAGACUGAUCGGCCACAAUGGAACUGAGACACGGUCCAUACUCCUACGGGAGGCAGCAGUAGGGAAU